rnacentral:lncRNA from 1 species
AAAAUUAUUUCACUAACUAAUGGAGGACUACUAUAUAUGCCUACUAAAAUUUUUUAAUGUACUUAUUGCACCAUUUAAAUUCGGAAAUUAAUUUUUAUAACUAAUUUUCAAAAUUAAAUUUUAAAAUAACUAUCCGCAAUAUCGCGCGAGUCCCCUAACUAGUUACAAGGAUUUAUUACUAAAUAAAUAUCUAAAAAACAGGAUUUCAAGCAACCUGCAACCUAUUUCUAUACUCUUUCAUAUUAAAAUUCUCCUUAAAAAUGAUAAAGAAAUACCAAACAAAGCCUAAAAUAAUUUAAGUUUUACUACAAUUAAUAAUAACUUUUAUUGGAAGAAUUUUUUUUUAAAAAAAAAUUAUUCUUUGGUUAAAAACUUUAGGACGUGGUAUAUAUCUGUGGAGAAAAAAAUUCGUAAAAAACUUUAACGUUCGUUCCUUAAUUAGCAUUUCGUUUGGUAUAAAAUGAAAUAGUUCUUGAAUCAAAUACAAAUAUAGAGAGCAUUUGAAACUUCAAAAAAAUAAAUUUUUAUAAUUUUUUGAAUCGAUGAUCCAUAACAUGUCAAACGUAAUUUAAAGCAAGUGGCAAAAGGGUAUGGCGGAUUGGCGGUUGAUAUCCAAGGUCCCAAGUUCGAUUUCUAAUUGAUUCGUAUUUUAAGCUAAUUUUAUUUCUAAAAGAUAUAAACGAAACGGAUAGCAUACUACCUUUAUCUCUCAAAAAAAUUUUAAAAAAUAAAUUUUAUAAUUUUUCAAAAUGAUAAUAAAGUCUAUCAAACGGUCAUUAAUUAAACGGAGAAAAUCGAACGGCCUCCUAAAUAUAAAGUAUCAAAUUUCUCAAUUUAAGAUCGGUGUUAUUGAUCUUUAUCUAGAUAGUGAAUAGAAUUUUCUAUCAAAAAUUUAACCAAUUUCGAUUUUUUACAAUGUUAAGCUAGCAAGCAUUCUAUACCAGUUGUUAAAAAUUGUCAAAAAUUUGAGUUUUUUUUUAUCAUAAUGUAAAUGGUAUUAAAAUUUUAUAAACUUCAAUUUCUAGAAAUUUCAAACACUCCAAAUUAUGUUUAACAAAGAAUGGAUUGUCGAUUCGGAAGUUGUCACAUCCUGAUUCUUGC